rnacentral:rRNA from 1 species
UACGUAGGGGGCGAGCGUUGUCCGGAUUUAUUGGGCGUAAAGAGCUCGUAGGCGGUUUGGUAAGUUGGACGUGAAAUCUCCAGGCUCAACUUGGAGGGGUCAUUCGAUACUGCCAUGACUAGAGUUCGGUAGGGGAGUGUGGAAUUCCUGGUGGAGCGGUGAAAUGCGCAGAUAUCAGGAGGAACACCCGUAGCGAAGGCGGCACUCUGGGCCGGAACUGACGCUGAGGAGCGAAAGCGUGGGGAGCGAACAGG